rnacentral:tRNA from 1 species
ACCCUCGGUAGUUCUUUGUUCAGAACUAUACCGGUUUUCAGACCGGAGCUAUCAACCACUCGGCCAUCUCUCCG